GACGAACGCUGGCGGCGUGCCUAAUACAUGCAAGUAGAACGCUGAGGACUGGUGCUUGCACUGGUCUAAGGAGUUGCGAACGGGUGAGUAACGCGUAGGUAACCCACCUCAUAGCGGGGGGAUAACUAUUGGAAACGAUAGCUAAUACCGCAUGACAAUAGGGUACACAUGUACCCUAUUUAAAAGGGGCAAAUGCUUCACUAUGAGAUGGACCUGCGUUGUAUUAGACUAGUUGGUAGGGGUAACGGCUUACCAAGGCGACGAAUACAUACGCGACCUGAGAGGGUGAUCGGGCCACACUGGGGACUGAGACACGGCCCAG
rnacentral:rRNA from 1 species